UACGUAGGGUGCGAGCGUUAAUCGGAAUUACUGGGCGUAAAGCGUGCGCAGGCGGUUUUGUAAGCCCGAUGUGAAAGCCCCGGGCUUAACCUGGGAAUGGCAUUUGGGACUGCAAGGCUGGAGUGUGGCAGAGGAGACUGGAAUUCCUGGUGUAGCAGUGAAAUGCGUAGAUAUCAGGAGGAAUACCGAUGGCGAAGGCAGGUCUCUGGGCUGACACUGACGCUCAUGCACGAAAGCGCGGGGAGCAAACAGG
rnacentral:rRNA from 1 species